GUCACGACAUGCAGCCGACUCCCGGUGCUGCAGAGUUCCUUUAUUAUUACGCUUUUGCUUUGGAUACUAUUGAUCUUUUCACAAUGAGAAUCGUACAGUAAACAUCAAGAAAAGCCAAAGCCUUGUGAUUAUUGGAGGAUUCAAGUUGUUAGCUACCUGUCUAGCUUUGCAUAGCCGCACACUGCGAGGGCAGAACACUAAUUGAGCCGCAUAAGCGCAUAAUAGUGCACCGCUUUGUGCUCCAGAUGAGGAGGUGAGGCCCCCUCAUAACGGCAUGAACCCGUGUGGCACAAUACAACUCAGACUGGCUGCCUGUACGUCAAUCAUGCUCCAGAUGAGGAGGUGAGGCCCCCUCAUAACGGCAUGAACCCGUAUGGCACAAUACAACUCAGACUGGCUGACCUGUACGUCAAUCAAGUGGCAAAUGCCAUAGUAAGGAUGGAUGAUGGUGAUCUACCCACACUACCUUUGCGAUCGACGUAUUGGGCACCCCUGUCCUAGAUGAUGUGCUUUUUUAAUCCGUUUGAGUUCACUGUGACUUGUCUGACCUUCCUCUUGUCUUUCUUGGCUUAAAGCUUAUCUAUAA